rnacentral:rRNA from 1 species
AGUGAACGCUGGCGGCAGGCCUAACACAUGCAAGUCGAGCGGCAGCGCGUCCGACCACCCUCGGGUGGUCGGAUGGCGGCGAGCGGCGGACGGGUGAGGAAUGCAUCGGAAUCUGCCUCGUUGUGGGGGAUAACGUAGGGAAACUUACGCUAAUACCGCAUACGACCUACGGGUGAAAGUGGGGGACCUUCGGGCCUCACGCGAUGAGAUGAGCCGAUGCCGGAUUAGCUAGUUGGCGGGGUAAAGGCCCACCAAGGCGACGAUCCGUAGCUGGUCUGAGAGGAUGAUCAGCCACACUGGAACUGAGACACGGUCCAGACUCCUACGGGAGGCAGCAGUGGGGAAUAUUGGACAAUGGGGGCAACCCUGAUCCAGCCAUGCCGCG